CGGCGGACGGGUGAGUAAUGUAUGGGGGAUCUGCCUGAUGGCGGGGGAUAACUACUGGAAACGGUAGCUAAUACCGCAUAACGUCGCAAGACCAAAGAGGGGGACCUUCGGGCCUCUUGCCAUCGGAUGAACCCAUAUGGGAUUAGCUAGUAGGUAAGGUAACGGCUUACCUAGGCGACGAUCCCUAGCUGGUCUGAGAGGAUGACCAGCCACACUGGAACUGAGACACGGUCCAG
rnacentral:rRNA from 1 species